AGUGAACGCUGGCGGUAGGCCUAACACAUGCAAGUCGAACGGCAGCACAGUAAGAGCUUGCUCUUACGGGUGGCGAGUGGCGGACGGGUGAGGCAUACAUCGGAAUCUACUUUUUCGUGGGGGAUAACGUAGGGAAACUUACGCUAGUACCGCAUACGACCUACGGGUGAAAGCAGGGGAUCUUCGGACCUUGCGCGAUUGAAUGAGCCGAUGUCGGAUUAGCUAGUUGGCGGGGUAAAGGCCCACCAAGGCGACGAUCCGUAGCUGGUCUGAGAGGAUGAUCAGCCACACUGGAACUGAGACACGGUCCAGACUCCUACGGGAGGCAGCAGUGGGGAAUAUUCGACAAUGGGCGCAAGCCUGAUCCAGCCAUACCGCGUGAGUGAAGAAGGCCUUCGGGUUGUAAAGCCCUUUUGUUGGGAAAGAAAAGCAGCAGGUUAAUACCCCGCUGUUCUGACGGUACCCAAAGAAUAAGCACCGGCUAACUUCGUG
rnacentral:rRNA from 1 species